GAUGAAGAACGUAGCAAAAUGCGAUAAGUAAUGUGAAUUGCAGAAUUCAGUGAAUCAUCGAAUCUUUGAACGCACAUUGCGCCCGCUGGUAUUCCGGCGGGCAUGCCUGUUCGAGCGUCAUUUCAACCCUCAAACCCCCGGGUUUGGUGUUGGGGAUCGGCUCUGCCUCACGGCGGUGCCGCCCCCGAAAUACAUUGGCGGUCUCGCUGCAGCCUCCAUUGCGUAGUAGCUAACACCUCGCAACUGGAACGCGGCGCGGCCAUGCCGUAAAACCCCAACUUCUGAAUGUUGACCUCGGAUCAGGUAGGAAUACCCGCUGAACUUAAGCAUAUCAUAAGCGAGGA
rnacentral:misc_RNA from 1 species